UUCCGGUUGAUCCUGCCGGACCCUACUGCUAUUGGGGCAAGACUAAAACAUGCAAGUUGAACGUUUCGAACUAUGGCGAAACGUAGCGGACGGCUCAGUAACACGUGGCUAACCUGCCCUUGAGACGGGAAUAAUCCCGGGAAACUGGGGCUAAUUCCCGAUAGGUGAAGAUGCCUGGAAUGGUUCAUCAUCUAAAGGACGUUGAGACCAUGUUUCACAGUGUCGCUCAAGGAUGGGGCCGCGGCCGAUCAGGUAGUUGGCGAGGUAACUGCUCACCAAGCCUUUGACCGGUACGGGCCGUGAGAGCGGGAGCCCGGAGAUGGGCACUGAGACAAGGGCCCAGGCCCUAUGGGGCGCAGCAGUUGCGAAACCUCCGCAAUGCGCGAAAGCGUGACGGGGUUACCCCAAGUGCCAUCCGCUGAGGACGGCUUUUCUUUGGUGUAAUGAGCCAAAGGAAUAAGGGGAGGGCAAGACUGGUGUCAGCCGCCGCGGUAAUACCAGCUCCCCGAGUGGUAGGGACAAUUAUUGGGCUUAAAGCGUCCGUAGCCGGUCUGACAAGUCUUUCGUUAAAUCCAGCGACCUAAUCGUUGGGCUGCGGGAGAUACUUUCAGGCUAGGGGACGGGAGAGGCCGAUGGUAUUCUUGGG
rnacentral:rRNA from 1 species